AGAGUUUGAUCCUGGCUCAGGAUGAACGCUGGCGGCGUGCCUAAUACAUGCAAGUCGAGCGAACAGAUAAGGAGCUUGCUCCUUUGACGUUAGCGGCGGACGGGUGAGUAACACGUGGAUAACCUACCUAUAAGACUGGGAUAACUUCGGGAAACCGGAGCUAAUACCGGAUAACAUAUUGAACCGCAUGGUUCAAUAGUGAAAGGCGGCUUUGCUGUCACUUAUAGAUGGAUCCGCGCCGUAUUAGCUAGUUGGUAAGGUAACGGCUUACCAAGGCAACGAUACGUAGCCGACCUGAGAGGGUGAUCGGCCACACUGGAACUGAGACACGGUCCAGACUCCUACGGGAGGCAGCAGUAGGGAAUCUUCCGCAAUGGGCGAAAGCCUGACGGAGCAACGCCGCGUGAGUGAUGAAGGUCUUCGGAUCGUAAAACUCUGUUAUUAGGGAAGAACGAAUGUGUAAGUAACUAUGCACGUCUUGACGGUACCUAAUCAGAAAGCCACGGCUAACUACGUGCCAGCAGCCGCGGUAAUACGUAGGUGGCAAGCGUUAUCCGGAAUUAUUGGGCGUAAAGCGCGCGUAGGCGGUUUUUUAAGUCUGAUGUGAAAGCCCACGGCUCAACCGUGGAGGGUCAUUGGAAACUGGAAAACUUGAGUGCAGAANAGGAAAGUGGAAUUCCAUGUGUANCGGUGAAAUGCGCANAGAUAUGGAGGAACACCAGUGGCGAAGGCGACUUUCUGGUCUGUAACUGACGCUGAUGUGCGAAAGCGUGGGGAUCAAACAGGAUUAGAUACCCUGGUAGUCCACGCCGUAAACGAUGAGUGCUAAGUGUUAGGGGGUUUCCGCCCCUUAGUGCUGCAGCUAACGCAUUAAGCACUCCGCCUGGGGAGUACGACCGCAAGGUUGAAACUCAAAGGAAUUGACGGGGACCCGCACAAGCGGUGGAGCAUGUGGUUUAAUUCGAAGCAACGCGAAGAACCUUACCUAGACUUGACAUCUUCUGCAUUACCCUUAAUCGGGGAAGUUCCUUCGGGGACAGAAUGACAGGUGGUGCAUGGUUGUCGUCAGCUCGUGUCGUGAGAUGUUGGGUUAAGUCCCGCAACGAGCGCAACCCUUAUUGUUAGUUGCUACCAUUUAGUUGAGCACUCUAGCGAGACUGCCCGGGUUAACCGGGAGGAAGGUGGGGAUGACGUCAAAUCAUCAUGCCCCUUAUGUCUAGGGCUACACACGUGCUACAAUGGCCGGUACAGAAAGACGCGAUACCGCGAGGUGGAGCAAAACUUUAAAACCGGUCUCAGUUCGGAUUGUAGGCUGAAACUCGUCUACAUGAAGCUGGAGUUACUAGUAAUCGCGAAUCAGCAUGUCGCGGUGAAUACGUUCCCGGGCCUUGUACACACCGCCCGUCACACCAUGAGAGUUGGCAAUACCCAAAGUUCGUGAGCUAACCGCAAGGAGGCAGCGACCUAAGGUAGGGUCAGCGAUUGGGGUGAAGUCGUAACAAGGUAACCA
rnacentral:rRNA from 1 species